CACUGUCAAGGGCAAUCCAUAGGUGUCGUACUUAUGCAUGGCUCCCUUUGGCUUCGAGUGCGAUCUGGUGAAGACGUGUACAGUGUCCUCAAAAUAUCUCCGGCCCCACGGAUAGUCGUUGAAAUGAUCGAUGUUGUCAACUAUCUCCAGAUGGAAGAGGUCGAUCGCAGUCUUCUUAUAGUGACACCACACCAUGCUUUCAAGGAUCUAGACCAGAUCUAACUUCAGUCUGUCUAACAUCUGAUCACACCUCCUGAUUGUGUCCAACAGUUGUGUAAGAAGCACAGUACCCUGUCCCUCGAAGUAAGCGUCAUGAAGCCUAUUUCUUCUCUGAGUCCCAUCACCAGUUACUUCAUUGCCCGUAAUCUUUAAUCUUAUUAUUAGAGCAAACUCGAACAUCGAAAAACUGACGAUUUUACCCCCCCAUUGCGAAGUGGAGGGCAUCGCUAUCGACUGGACUCAGCAAUCGACAUAGAAGUGCAUCAAUAAUCUGACCCGACUACUACAGGUCUCUCAACGGAUACAAGGGCCACAGGAAGGACUGGCUCAACAUAUCAGCAUGCUGAUCAUCAAGCAGCUCUAACACAGCUGUGAAACUAUCAAAGUUACUAUUCCACGUAGCUUUGCCUAGCAUUUGUCUCAACUCUGCGUGAAGAUGGUAAUCCAUCCUUUAAAAAUUCAAAAUGUUAUAACAUUGUACAAGUGAUAAUAGUAAUAACAGAAAAUUUAGCGAACGAAAUUGUAACUAC
rnacentral:lncRNA from 1 species